GGCCCAUUAGCUCAGUUGGUGAGAGCGCAGUUCUCCUAACACCAAGGUUGUCGGUUCGAUUCCCACAUGGGCCA